rnacentral:rRNA from 1 species
UACGUAGGGGGCAAGCGUUGUCCGGAUUUAUUGGGCGUAAAGAGCGUGUAGGCGGCCUGAAAGGUCAGCUGUGAAAACUCGAGGCUCAACCUCGAGACGUCGGUUGAAACCAUCUGGCUAGAGUCCGGAAGAGGAGUGUGGAAUUCCCGGUGUAGCGGUGAAAUGCGCAGAUAUCGGGAAGAACACCCGUGGCGAAGGCGGCUCUCUGGGACGGUACUGAC